UACGUAGGGGGCAAGCGUUGUCCGGAAUCAUUGGGCGUAAAGAGCGUGUAGGCGGUCCGGUAAGUCGGCUGUGAAAGUCCAGGGCUCAACCCUGGGAUGCCGGUCGAUACUGCCGGACUAGAGUACAGAAGGGGCAACUGGAAUUCUCGGUGUAGCGGUGAAAUGCGUAGAUAUCGAGAGGAACACCUGCGGCGAAGGCGGGUUGCUGGGCUGAUACUGACGCUGAGACGCGAAAGCCAGGGAGCGAACAGG
rnacentral:rRNA from 1 species